AGAGAGAGAGAGAGAGAGAGAGAGAGAGAGAGAGAGAGAGAGAGAGAGAGAGAGAGAGAGAGAGAGAGAGAGAGAGAGAGAGAGAGAGAGAGAGAGAAUAUCAAGGCUUAAUUUGUUCUCUCUGUUUGUGUAGGUCGAUUUUCAAAUGGAUCACGUGAACCUUGGAAUUGAGAGCUUUGAAAUGUGCCGAGAUCUUAUGGGCCCGUCACAUCAUGUCAGAUGGAAGAAAUUCAUUUGAUCUGCCAGCGCAAUGACUCACACACGCACAUGACUCAUAUCUCCAGAUACCUCAGAAGGCUCCCGUGUAAACAACACCUCGGUCUCAAUUGGACACCGCCCUGCCUAAUGAAAGAAUAAAUCAUGUAAAAUACUA